UGUAGGAUCUCAUACUCGUUGAGGACAACUCGUGUCUAUAUUGUAUUGCUAAAUCGACUAAAGCAUGUUCUCAGGGUACUCAGGGCAGGGUGUGAAGAGAGAAGAAUUGAGCUCUAGGACUUUUAAUCAGAGGAAAUUAGUCAUUUUUUAUCAUAUGCUAGCUUAUCUAUUUUGACCACCCUCUAAUAUGUAAUAAACAUUACCCUAGGGCUCUUGUAUGUUCUUUUGGUAAUGUACUCCUAACGUUUAACUUAUGGAAUUAUGUCUUAUGUUUUGAAUACUGUAAUAAUGACACGUCUCCACAUUCCGGGGUGGGAUGUUACAUAGCCCAUGACCCCAAGAGUAUGAGAAUAACAAGAGCAUUAAUUUGUUGUCGAAUUGUGACUUUCUUCAUGUUUUGCGUGUUGAUGGUUGUUUUGUCAUUGGUGGUGAUGGUUAUAUAG
rnacentral:lncRNA from 1 species